rnacentral:rRNA from 1 species
GUUGAACGCUGGCGGCGUGCCUAAUACAUGCAAGUCGAGCGAACAGACGAGGAGCUUGCUCCUCUGACGUUAGCGGCGGACGGGUGAGUAACACGUGGAUAACCUACCUAUAAGACUGGGAUAACUUCGGGAAACCGGAGCUAAUACCGGAUAAUAUAUUGAACUGCAUGGUUCAAUAGUGAAAGACGGUUUUGCUGUCACUUAUAGAUGGAUCCGCGCCGCAUUAGCUAGUUGGUAAGGUAACGGCUUACCAAGGCAACGAUGCGUAGCCGACCUGAGAGGGUGAUCGGCCACACUGGAACUGAGACACGGUCCAGACUCCUACGGGAGGCAGCAGUAGGGAAUCUUCCGCAAUGGGCGAAAGCCUGACGGAGCAACGCCGCGUGAGUGAUGAAGGUCUUCGGAUCGUAAAACUCUGUUAUUAGGGAAGAACAAAUGUGUAAGUAACUAUGCACGUCUUGACGGUACCUAAUCAGAAAGCCACGGCUAACUACGUG